rnacentral:lncRNA from 1 species
AUGGAUCCCGCCGUGCUCAUCUUCCUGCUGUACGUGAUGAUCGCGCACGAGCUGGUGUGCGGCUGGAUGCAGUACCGCAGACAGAGCGCCAAGCCCCGCAAACCAACAGCUGGACCGCUGCUGCGCUCCAGCGCCCGGGUGUGUCAAGGUGCGUGGAGGUCAAGCAUCCAGUCAGUCAGGAUCGACAGAGGAGGGAGGGACCUGAGGAAGAGCGGACGCAUUGUGAGAAAGGCCUGAUGAAGACAGAGGCCAGACAUGGAGGGACACUUGAUGAAGAAUAACUUUCGACUUUAUCUCCAAGUGGCUUCUAAGUGUGAACUUGUUGUCUGCAGGGCCUGAUCCAGUCCGACUCGCCUUGCACCUCAAUCGCACAUCUGGGCAUUCGAACGGUUUAUUACUGUGGUUCUUUCUGUAACAUAUGAGCCAUUUAGCAUCUUUACCAAAAGGAUUUUAAGUCUGACGUAAAUCAAGAUGCAGGGGGCCAAACUGCUGAGAGGAUAAUAUUGAAAAAAGGGCCAAAAAUGCAGCAUUUUUAGUCAAAACUACAAGGCACUACGUGCCAGUCUAGUGAUCUUCGUGACCGUCAUCAGAUCAGUAUCUAAGUGUCCGUCAACCAGUUUACUGUAGAGCUGCACGUUUCUCAAACAUUGUUUCAAGCACAUUUUUUUUGUUUGGUCAUGUUGCUAAAACAGGAGGAUCAGCCGUCCCCUUCAGUUAUCAUCCAUCUAAGAUGCACCGUGUUGGCACCAUGUUUCCAGUUUGGCCUUUGACAUUUUCCUUGUAUGUUCUCUGUCUGUCAGUGAUGUCAUCUAUCAAAUAAAAACAAACCCAGCCAAUCCAACUCUUCUUUUUGAGCUGAUGGACAUGAUAAACCAUCAUUUCCCAAAAAAGCAACAGGUAUAAUGAACAAAUGUCAGACUGAGUAACACAGGGAAGAAAAAAUAUAAAUAAUUCCGUAUAUUAGCUCAGAUAUUAGAGUCAUUUAAGGGCCCUGACACACCAAACUGACUAUUUGGUCAUGAGCCAAAUAGUUAGACAAAGCGCAAUUCUGACCUGGUGGAAAAGCUGCUGUUGACGUAGUAUAGCCCUGAGGCUGACACAAUUUGGCUUUCCUGAAUUAUAGUUUAUGUGAAAUGUUGCUGUGAUUUGACCCUCAGGGCCACCAUAUGCUUGUAGAUCAAAAGUCAAGCUUGCUUGAAGAUAUCUUGACUUUGGAAAUUAUCGUAGGCUUGGCCUGCUGGUGGCCGCAUUGCCUGAGGACCACGAAUGUGUGUUCAAAAUGUAUCAUACAUAAAUCUGAUAAUUGUUGCAAUAUUUCAGCCCAGGCCCAAUAAAGGGGCCUGACCCCUUUGCUAGCAAGGGUGAUUUUCAUUUUACAAAUACGCACAUCUGUGUGCAGAAGAGUGUCCUGUUUCUUUGGUACGUUGUAAUUUUGUAAAAGAUGCUCCAGGCUGCAGUCCAGGCAUGUUGCACGACAAGUUUAUUGUUCUCGACAGUUGUGACUCACUCAGUUUGUGACGCCCAAACAGACUUUCCAUGCAUCACACAAAGUGCUGUUACUGACCGAUUACUUCAAGCGCAGUUAUUUAAGGGAGGGAACUGAGCAAUUCUCACAGGCUACCUGCAGACCUGAUCCACUGGUUUGAUCUGCUGAUCACUACAAACGCAAACAGAAUUUUGUAUUCAUGCUCUGAACUUCAGGAACCAAAAGCUCAUCCUUGCUUCUGCUUUCACUAAAUACAGUAUAUCUUCAGGUUGCAAUACCACAAACAACCUUAAAAUACUUUUUAAGCAUGGUGCAGCUGUCAAGUCACAUCAAACUUGAAUUAAAUGUUUUGUCAGUUAAUAAAAGUUUGUGUCUAAUUCCAUUGGACAAAA